UACAGAGGUCACAAGCGUUGUUCGGAUUCAUUGGGCGUAAAGGGUGCGUAGGCGGCGCGGUAAGUCGGGUGUGAAAUCUUGGAGCUUAACUCCGAAACUGCAUUCGAUACUGCCGUGCUUGAGGACUGGAGAGGAGACUGGAAUUUACGGUGUAGCGGUGAAAUGCGUAGAUAUCGUAAGGAAGACCAGUGGCGAAGGCGGGUCUCUGGACAGUUCCUGACACUGAGACACGAAGGCCAGGGGAGCAAACGGG
rnacentral:rRNA from 1 species